GGCCUUGUCAAAUACCUUUUCCUGUGAAAAUCUUGAUGAGACCAGUUGUGCGCGUGAACGAUUUUUUUAAGAAAAGUGCCAUCCGCAGAAAAUUCUGUCGUUAAACAACUAAACACCACCAGGAAAAGCCUUACCUUGUGCUCGAUCGCUGUAUUUUGGCCUACACCGGAAGAUCGAUCUUUCGUCGUUGGAGAUUGUACAGUGACAUCGAGUCAGGGUUGAUCUAGGAGGGCAACAACUCCACCCGCAAAGCCGACGAGCUAGAGCCGGAAAAUAUUAGCGUGCCCAGCUCUCUCAAAUCACAACACCGCUCUCGAAAAAAAGACUCGUUGCACGUUACAAACAUAUGAAUAGUAUUUGUUUCAGAGCAGAGCUUUUGUUUUGUUUCGCGUCGAGUCGACUGCUCGUAGACCUGAAAACUGCUACUGAAUAUCGCCCAUCAGCAGUGCCUUGAGAUUCCCAUUACAAAGUGAACGUCUGAUCUCGAAACUGUAAAACCUAGCACACGUAAUAUUGAAUGCUACUCGAAACGGACGGGGUAAUCGGAACAAUAAUCGUCAAAAACAUGAGCGACAGAUAAGGAUUCGUCUUGGCCUCUAUGGGGCUGUCCAAUCCGGAGACGCCCACGAACUCGGGACAGCAGGCGUCUCAGCAAGACCACUCCAGGUGCAAUGCUAGCACUGAGCCCAUAGCCACGGAGUACUUUCACUGCUUGGUGGACCAACUGCCUGAGGCACACGACAUGGCCGCUCAGAUGACGAGAUCGACGGCCUAAAUUUUCCGAGCGGAGAUUCAAAGCUGCGUCUCAUCACUUUCCAAGAGUGAAACAACCUGAUUUUAGACCUGCUCCAUAUCUUACAUUUUCGCUGUCGUUCUUCAGUUGACGCUGCCUAUGUGUUUUGCCAAAAGCUGGGUUUCUAACGAAAGGCUGUCCGUGUCCAAAAUAUUCCGGUGGAACGCAUUCUGGAUGAACUUUAUGAUUGCGCAAAGGUCCUUGCGCAGCCUUCGGUGCAAUCAUAAAGCUCCUACAGAAUGCCUAUCACCGGAACAUUUGGGACACGAACAGCCUUUCACUGGAAACCCAGCUUCUGGGCAAAACCCAUAAGCAGCGUCAUCCAGAGAGAGACAGUGAAAAUGUAGGACAUAGAAAAGGUCAAAAAUAAGGUGCUUCACUCAAUCGGUGUGUACCUCCUCCAUAGAGCGAUAGCGAAUGCUGCCGGUGCUGCCUUAAUGCCUCUUCCAGUCCCCAUUGAAGAUGACCUAUUCGAGUCUUCCUUUACUACUGAUGUUGUUUUUAGCUAAAUUUUAUUAAUACAUUUAAGAUUUACAUUGAUAAAUAUAAUAAUACUCAUCGAAUUAUGCUGCUGAAAAAGCUCAGUAGCUCAACAUAACAUAAACAGUUAAAUCAGAAAAAACA